ensembl:snRNA U2 U2 spliceosomal RNA
AUGGAUGGCCAAGAUCAAGUGUAGUAUUUGUUCUUAUCAGUUUAAUAUCUGAUACGUCCCCCAGCGGUGGACUACAUAUUAAGCACAUUUUUAGAACAGGGAGUUGGCAAAGGGGCUUCCUCAUUCCGCUCCACGCAUCAACCAGGUAUUGCAGUGCCUCUGGGAGCGGUGCACUUUCU